UUCCAGACUCCUACGGGAGGCAGCAGUGAGGAAUAUUGGUCAAUGGCCAAGAGGCUGAACCAGCCAAGUCGCGUGAGGGAAGACGGCCCUACGGGUUGUAAACCUCUUUUGUCGGGGAGCAAAGCGAGUCACGUGUGACUCAUUGAGAGUACCCGAAGAAAAAGCAUCGGCUAACUCCGUGCCAGCAGCCGCGGUAAUACGGAGGAUGCGAGCGUUAUCCGGAUUUAUUGGGUUUAAAGGGUGCGCAGGCGGAAUGUCAAGUCAGCGGUAAAAUUUCGGGGCUCAACCCCGUCGUGCCGUUGAAACUGGCGUUCUUGAGUGAGCGAGAAGUAUGCGGAAUGCGUGGUGUAGCGGUGAAAUGCAUAGAUAUCACGCAGAACUCCGAUUGCGAAGGCAGCAUACCGGCGCUCAACUGACGCUCAUGCACGAAAGCGUGGGUAUCGAACAGGAUUAGAUACCCCCGUAA
rnacentral:rRNA from 1 species